CCUGCCCUUACCCUGCCCAGGAGGGCGCUGGGAGGAGCCAGGCCUCGGUGUCCUCCUCCAGGCUGCCCUGGAGACCCAGAGGAAGCUGCGCACAGCACGCACUCAGCCCUGGCUCUGGAGGGAAAUGGCAAUGGCCGUGCUGCUGCUGGAACCAAAGCCCACCCCGAAGGAGAAGGGACCCAGGCCUGUGUGACACUGACCAACAGGACAGGCUUCCUGUGCCAUGACCAGAGGAUCUGCGUGCCUGCCAGCACGGUGUGUGAUGGCUUUCACACUUGUCCCCAUGGCGAGGAUGAGGACGAGAGCCUGUGCCUGACCACGUGCCCACCCUGCGGCCCUGGGUGGUGGCGCUGCCUUCCCACCGUCUUCCAGUACUGCGGCUGUGUCCCAAGGGCCCUGUGCCAGGAUGGCACACAGCACUGCUCCGACUGGUCUGAUGAGUACACCUGUCUGCGCACCCUGACCAGGCUGUCCAGGCCAGCCAGAGGCUGCUGGGAAUGGCGUUAAUGACAGCUCCUGCGAACCCUGAAUUCUGGGCCACCAGGGCAGGAAGGAGCUCUCACAAUCGUCCAGUGGAGUGUGGGUGCAGCUCCACGGUAAAGCCCUUUCCUAUCAUGCACGAGGCCCUGGCUUCCAUCUCAGCACUGCAAAGCAAAGUGAAACACAAAUCGCCCAGUGGUACCUCUGCAUCCUCUUAUGAAUAGGAAUUGGCUCUCCUACUUUCCAGUUGCUCAGCCUCUCCUUGAACACCUCUGGCGCCAGGGAGUUCUCUCAGAUGCUAGGCAGCUUCACACAAAGUUGAGAAUCUGCCUCUGUGGUUUUAGAUCUGUCCAGGGCCUCCCAUUGGAAAUCUGCUCCUCUGCUCCAAGUCAGGUUUUCAGAUCCUGAUCUUAAUUACACCUUGGAGAGGAGAUCAGUCUGGGGCCUCUCUGCCAAGCAGAGCAGUUCAGCCCUCCAGGAUGGCACAGAAGCGAAGCAUUUGGUACUUCUUGCCCUGCUCGUAUUUAAGGCAGCAGUGCUGCGUGUUUCUUGCUGACUGGUCAUGGGAGAUUUUGAGGGAGGCAGGGCACUUGCCACCCCACCAGUGGGAAGCAUCCAGAGACUUGCAGCUGUAGAACAGAAGAUGUGCAGAAGAGAAAGAGGGCUCACCACUUUCUGUCCACCCUGCCAAGCUCCUCUUUGUGCUUCACCCCAGCUGCCAGCCGGCAGCCCAGGGUUCCUGAAGAAAGGAUCCGACCCACAGUGAGCUGCUUCUUUACAUCUACCCACUUCAUGACACCCAGGCAGGCAAGGAUGGAUGUCUCCACCAGACGGACGGGGAAACUGAGGCCCAGGAGAAACAAUAAGCCCAGGAUCUUAGCCAAAGUAAGGGCUAGAACUGAGACUCAGACACAGCCAGCUGCACCCCAGCCCAAAACCUUUCUAACUGUCCACAGGACCAUGCCCUGGCAGGGGUGCAGAAAGUGUCCCACACUCAUUCUGGAGGUGUGGAGAGAGAGGUAGACUCUGGAGAAGGGGGGUCCUGUCAGAGGAGACAGAUCUAUCUCCAUUCGGUUUUAUAGAUCAGUCUCCUGAGUGUUGAAUUGGAAAUGGGCAACAGAGUGGUGAGCACUACUUCAUUCACCGCCCCAUUCCUUCCUUGGCCAUCUCGCUCUGCAUACCUGGGAGUCGGAGUGCCAGGGCACCAAGGAAGAGGCCGGGGACAGUGGCUGCACCUCACAUCAUGGCGGGGAGGGUGGCACAGUGGAAAAGGCUGGGCCCCAAGAGGUGCCUGAGGGAGCCAGGCCAUCACACUUCUGACUCGAUCCUGAUCCUCCAAAGACAGUGCUGGACCCGAGCUCCCAGGUGCUGUUUGGAGCUGCGCUCUGCCACCUUCUGCCCAGUUUCUCUGCGGAGUCCCCCGCCUGCCCUGCCCCACCCUGGGCUCCCCACGGUUUGCUUACGCCUGCUGACCCAAGGAGCCUCCCUCCCCCAGGACACUUAUGGAGGAAGGUGGGGAAAGGGCAACCCGGGUCUGUCCCUGUGAGGAAAGCACGGGUGAGCGGGGCUCAGCCAGGAAAAGUCCACCGGGCCAGGGUGGGCAACGCCCAGGGUGGGGGAGGAGGGGAGGUGCGUGAGAGGGGAGAGAUGUAGGAGGGCACGGCGGUCACACUGUACCCUUAGGGCAGUGGGGCAUCAAUGGGGCAUUAAGCAGGGAAAUGUCUCAGUGGAGAGGCGAGGUAGGGAGCUGACCUGCGUGUCAUGAGUUGGGGACAGAGCAGGCAGCCGGGCUCCGAAGUCCAGCAGUAAGGGUUAGCUGUCCCUUGUUGCCUCAGGAGGGCUUGCUACAGAGGUCACCUGAGCAGGGACUCGGAGAGAAAGGAGCCGCACCACAGUGUGGGGCUAGGGGGAGGAGUGGCCCCCAAGCUGAAGGAGUGGGAAUCCUUGGUGCCCGAGGGUGUAGAAGAGCUUGGCUUCCAGACCACAGAGAGGGACCUUGGCUAAGACUGCAGGGUGCUGGCCGAGGUUUUCAGCAGCAGGAACACACGUGAUCCACUUUGAGAAGGGCUGCAAAGAAGGCUGAGGAAGAAGGGUCCAGAACCCCGAAAACUGCUGGGCUUCCGGGGAGGACAAGGAGAGGUCCAAAAACAGCAAAGCUUCCUGCAGAAAAAGUGGAGCCCAGUGCUGCACUGGCAGCUGUCACAAGAAUUAGAAGCCAAGGCCAGAGAUUUAGCUCAGUGGUUCUGCCGCCUGCCUUGCAACCACAAGCACCAGAGUUCGAUCCCUGGUACCAAAAAAAAAAAAAAAAAAAAAAAGAAUUAGAAGCCAAAGGCUGGGGAUUUAGCUCAGUGGUUCCGGUGCCUGCUGCGCCAAGCCCAAGGUCCUGAGUUCGAUCCCUGGUACCGAAAAACAAAACAACAAGAAUUAGACGUCAGCAUUUAUUUAGCGGGAAGGCCUGAUCUCUGAACUCUGGAACCUCAUUUCCUCCAAUCUUCACAAGCACUCCAGAACCCUGGUUGGUUAUUCCACUUUGCACAGGCACAGAGAGAUACGUGUUUGGCUAGGAUCACACAGCUUUUUCUUCUGAUUCUUUUUUUGGUACCAGGAUCGAACUUGGGUCCUUGCACUUGUGCAGCAGGUGGCAAAACCACUGAGCUAAAUCCCUGGCCCAGGAUCACACAGCUUUUAAGAUGCAGAUUCAGGAGCUAAACUUUGAUGGGCUCAAAAUCAGAGCUCACCAGGGCCUUCAAGCGUGUGCCUCAUUCUCUCUCAGCCAGGUCUCCUAGAGGGCAGCUGAACCCAGGGCAGGGGCUCAGUCUGCAGUUAGUAUCUGGCACUGGCAGGAGAACCUGCAUUUGUUCUUCUUUGUCUACUGUUCUUCCUCUCAGAAAGGAACAUGUGCUGAACUAACCUCCAAACCACACUCCACAAGGCGGACCUGGGAAGACCCAGGGCAGAAAAGUGGGGCAGGCCCUCCCCUGGUGGCGUCAGCAGAGCAGCCUGGGGCGAGAGCUCAGCAGCCAGCAUCAAUAUUUGCCCUCUCCCUGCCUCCUUGGCCCUAGUUCCAAGAUCAGGACUUUAGUACAACAGGUUCUUCGCUGUGCAAACAUGCAGGGCUAGAUGAAUGGAAUUUAAAGGGGCUCAGGCUGGGCCCCAGGGUCUGGACUGGAAAUCUGGUCUGGUUUAACUGUCUGCCGUCACUGUUUGCCAGGAGCUGUCUCUUCAUCCUUAGACACACAGCACAGACGUCAGGCGCGGGCAGGGAUCUCAGAGCACAGCCUGGCUUUUGACGAAAAGAGGACACUGCUUCUCAGAGAGGAAGGGAACCUGCCCUAGGCUGCACUGCCUGGUGGCUGUCACAUAUUCACUCAGUGGUCCCCCCUUGUCUAUGGGGUACAUUCCAGGAUCCCCCAGUGGAUGGGCAAAGAGCACCAAACCCUGCAUGUACUAUGUUUUUUCCUAUUCAUACAUUCCUAGGAUAAAGUUUAAUUCAUAAAUUAGGUACAGUAAGAAAUCAAUGGCAAUAACCAAUAAUAAAAUAGAACAGUUGUAACAACAUACUGUAAUGAAAUUCCCAGCAUCACUUGUCUUGUGUUUGGGGCCAUUAUUAAGUAAAAUAAGGGUUAUUUGAACCCAAGCACUGUGCUACUGCAGUAGUCCAUGGCUAUGAAGUGGCCUACAGAGGUAGUGUAGACAGGGUGGAUCUGCUGUCAAAGGCACAACUUAUAUCUAGGAAAUUUACCACACUCCUCAGAAUAACACAGUAUUUAAAACUUGUGAGUUGUUUUUUCUCUGGACUUUUCCAUUUCAUAUUUUCAGAUUGCAUAUAACCACAGGUAACUGAAACCUCAGAGAAUGAAACCUUAGAUAGGGGAACAUGUACAUGUGUUAUGUGUAUAAAUUACAUACAUGAAAUACACAAUUUUUCUUCAGUACUAGGAAUUGAACCCAGAGUUUUAUAUAAUCUAGGCAACCACUCUACCACUGAGCCAUGUCUCAGCCUUUUCUUUUUUUAAAUUUUGAGACAGGAUCUAAGUUGUCCAGGCUGGCCUCAAACUUGCAAUCCUCCUGCCUCAGCCUCCCAAGUAGCUGGGAUUAUAGGCACAUGCCACCACAUCCAUCUGAAAUGUACAAAUCUUUUUGGGUUUUUUUGCUUCUCCAAGAAUAUAUAUGUAUUGUCAUUUCACACAAUUUAAUCUAUGCAUUUAACUUACAGUGCUUGGAGGAGGCAAUGCCACAUGGUACCAGGCCAUCAUAUUUUUUAAGGGAAAUCACUUUCAGAAAUAUACAAAUCUUAAUUGUAUAGUUCAAUGAAGUUUCUUUAAAGCAGGGAUCUUAGUUACCUUCUUGUUGCUGAGACAAAAUACCAAAUACUCACAUGUUGAAGGAGGAGAGGUUUAUUUGGCUCACAGUUUGUGGAGGUUUCAGUGCAUAGUCAGCUGGCUGCAAGGCAGGGUGGCACGGCAGAGGCUCACUGCAGAGGAGGAACAGUCCAUGGCAGGCUUGGCAGGAAAUAGCAGCCUUCCUCCUGCUGUCUCUUUUUAUUCCAUCCAGGCUACAAGCCUAUUGGUUGGUGCCACCCACACCCAGGUUGGUCUUCCCUCUUCAGUAAAUCCAUCAUCCAUGCCCAGAACUAUGCAAAACUCAUCAGUGGACUAAUCCAGUAUCACACACCUGUGAUUCAGUCACCUCCCCAAACCCUACCUACAAGCACAUGAGGCUUUGGGGGGCCACCUGGAUGCAAGCCAAAACAGCAGUUUUUUUGAGGUAUGAAUGACAGACAAUAAACUAUAUGAAUUUAAAGUAUACAUUUUCCUCAAUUUUACAUAUGUCUCUUGUAAGAAAGAAAAAGGAGAAAGACUUACAGCAAGGACAGGCUUUAUUGAGAUAAAGACCUGAGAGGGGCCUGCUGGCGCUCUUACAGAGUAAGGGGUUUAGAAGGGGUAGCAGAGAAUGAGGAGGCUGGAAACUAGCCAGGAUUAGGUCAUCUGUCCAUGGUCAUUGGUCCAUCUUGCAUUUACACAAGUUUCCCUUUGCUCUGAAACUACAGGCCUCUUGGUCUGGAAUGGUUGGUUCUAUAAGCAGGACUUUGGCUGCGAGGCCAGUUCAUUAGGGAUAUUGAUAUUUUUACAAGGCUAAAACAAUGUGGGGAGGGUCAGAACCCACGGGAAGCCAUCCUUCAGACUUCUUACACCUUCACCCAUGUUCUCUCACGAGGAAGACAGAGAACAGAUUCCUCUCCCUCAGAAAUUCCCAGAGCCCUCUCUGACCCCUCACUCUCAACCCAUACUCUGGCCACCACUGACUUCUUUCUUUUCUAUGGGUACAGAAUACAGUACUUUGGAUUUUCCUGGAAUGUGACAGACACGAGGCCAUACAGAAUAUGCCCUCUCAUCUGGCUUCUUUCACUCAAAUAACUAUUACAAGACUUAUCCAUGCUGCAACCAUGUCCACUAUCCAUUAUUCCCGUUGUACGGCUUACCACAAUCUGUGGCUGAAGAGACAUUCUUGUUUUGCGCAAUGCUAGGGGUUGAACCCAGGCUUUGUGCAUGCGAGGCAAGUGCUGUGCCUCUGAGCAAUGUCCAGCCCUGAAGAGAUGCAUUCCUCACUUACUGAUGGCUUUCCAGUAAAUCCCAGCUUGGAUUAUUGCAAAUAUCACUGCUCUAAUCAUUUACAUAUAAGUCUUCAUAUAGACAUAUGUUUCCAUCUAUCCUGGAGCAUUAAAUAGGAGAAUGGCAGAUGUAGUAGAUCAAUCCCUAACUUUUUAUGAACUCUCCUGGUUUCCAAAGUGGUUCUAUCAUUUUACACUCCCAUCAUCACCAUGCAAGAGCUCUGACUGCUCCACCGCCUCACCAACAUGUCCCGGUAGCCUUUUUUAUCAUAGCUCUUUUUUUUUUUUAUCAUAGCUCUUCUGGCUGGUGUGUGGUGCCAUCUCAUUGUGCCUAUGCUCUGCCUUUUCCUAGUGACUAAAAAGCUCUCUGGCAUCUUCUCAUGAACUUAUUCAGCACCCACAGAUCUUCUUGGUAAAGGAUCUGCUCAAAUUUCUUGCCCAUUUUAUCAGAUUGUUCAUUUGUUUUAGUUUUUUUGAGACAAGGUCUAUGAAGCCCAGGCUGGCCUUGAAGUCAUGGCAAUCCUCCUGCCUCAGCCUCCCCAGUGCCUGGGUUCCAGGUAUGUGCUACCAUCCCUGGUUACUUUACAUAGUCUGAAUGUGCAUCCAAAUCAGAUGUAUGAUUUGAAAAUGCUUCUUCCAGUCUGUCUUUUUAUUAUUAUUAUUUUUUUUUGGUACCAGGGAUCGAACUCGGGUCCUUGCGCUUGCGAGGCAGGCGUCAGAACCACUGAGCUAAAUCCCUGGCCCUGUCUUUUUACUUUUUAACAAUGUCUUUCAAAGAGCAGAAGUUCUUUAUUUUGAUGAAAUCCAAUUAUCAACUUUUUUUCUUUUAUGUAUCAUUCUUUUGUUACUGUAUUUAAGAAAUGUUUGCUCAACUCAAAGUCAAAAUAUUUUAUCUUAUAUGUUCUCCUAGAAGGUUUUUAGUUUUAGGUUAUAUAACUAAGUCUAUGAUUCAUUUUGAGUUUUUUUGGUAUAAGAUACAAGGAAUGAAUCACACUUGUCUUUUAGGGAGGGCACUGGAAUGCAAUUCUUGCAGCACCGUUUGUUGAGAAGGCAAUCGUUGGCUACUAAAUCACCUUCUUACUUUAUAAAAAUUAGUUAUCCAUGUAUGCAUCAUCUUCUUUUCCCAUUAUCUAUCUCAUUGCCUAAGCCAUACUGUCUUCAUUCCUGUAGAUUUAUAAUAAGCCUUGAAAUCAUGUAAUAUUAGUGCUCCUACCUUGUUCUUUUUUAGACUUGUUUUGGAUAUUCCAGGUACUUUGCAUUUCUAUUUCUGUAUGACAACAGAAAUUCCUUUCUCCCAGCUUUGGAGGCUGGAAUUUAGAGCUCAAAGUGCCAGGAGGCCUGGGUUCUCAGUGAUGGCUCUCUUCAGGGUUCUGGCCUCACAUAGCAUUGGGAGGGAGGCUUUUUUUGGGCAGUACUGGGGAUUGAAGGCUUGGCUUUUGUACUGAGCUACAUUGGCAGCUCUUUUAAAAUUUUGAGACACAAUCUAAGUUGCUAAAUUGCCCAGGUUGGGCUUGUCCCUGCAAUCCUCCUGUCUCAGCCUCCUAGAGUGCUAGGAAUGUAGGCAUGCACCCAGUUGUCUUCUUUUCAUAUGGGCACUAAUUCCAACAUGGAAGGUCCACCCUCGUGACUUAAUCCAACUGUAACCGCCUCUCAGGGGCCCUAGGUUCAUCCCCCUGUGCCACCAAACAAGCAUAAAAACCAAAAAGCCAAUCGCACAUUGCUCUUUAUUGGGAGGAUUUUUGUAAUCUCAUCUCAUCAUCUUCACCCAGUCUCUUAAAGAGGAGUUGUGAGAUCUGACGCAUCAGGUUCUUGGUAGAACUGGAGGGAUGCUGCUUCUUUAAAAUGCAUAUUCCUGGGCCCCACUGGCUCUCCAGAGUUAGAGUGGAGAAGUGGAGGUUAAUUUGCUUUCUUUAAAAAAAAAAAAGAAAAGGAAAUAAAUUGUGUGUGCACGUGUGCAUGAUACUAGUGCUUGGACCCAAUAAAAUGAUCUUCUUGAUCAUUUUGCAAAACCCUUUGCGAUGACCAGGAAAACUAGAUAACUGUUAGAGACCCCCGCGCCUGGAAGAUGCCUAAAGAUCAUCAAAUCCAAGCCCCAUCUCCGGUUUGGAUUGCCUGAGGACCAGCCCUGCCAGAGUCACCAGUCUCUGCACACUCUUAGAAACAGGGAAUUUGUUACUGCUCCUGAUAGCUGUGACUUUAGAAAACUCCUUCGGCCCAGCUAUUCCCCUACUGGGUAUCUUCCCCAAAGAAUUAAAACAAUCGUACCACAGCAAUAUAUGUGCACCUAUGUUUAUAGCGGCACGGUUUGUAAUAGCUAAGGUUUGGAAACAGCCCAAGUGCCCAUCAACUGGAAACUGGAUAAAGAAGAUGGGGUUUUUUUUUUUUUUAAAUGGAGUACUAUUCAGUCAUAAAGAAUGAGAAACUAGAGUCAUUUAUAGCUAAAUGGAUGCAUAUUGAGGCCAUACUCUUAAGUGAAAUAAAUAGGACACAUGUGUAAAUACCGAAUAGUAUCUCUAGUGUGAGAAACUGAAAGUGUAAAUAAGGAUGAAAAUGAUUAAAAUGAAUAAUUGAUAAUUUGAAAUAGGAAAAGGUCCAAAGGUGUAGGGGUGGUGGGAGGGGAAGGGGAAAGGGAAGAAGGGAAAGGAAAAAUUAUGAGAAAGAAAAAAAAAAUGGAAACAAAGUCUAUGUAAAUAGGGAAGGGUGGUGGGGGUGAAGGGCGCACAGGUAAUAGGGAAAAAAAUAAGAACCAAGAUACAUCAUGUACAGGUACAGGCACCCAGUGAUAAAUGUAAAUGUAUUGUAUACCUAAAAUGUACCAAUUAAUAUAUAAAUUUAAAAAGAAAACUCCUUCCGCUACUGAGUCAACUCUGUCUCUCAUUAAUUAGUCCUGGAUCCAGUAAACUUAUCUGGCCCUUCUGCCCCAGGAAAGCCCAUCAUGGUUUACUUGUUUGGAUUUAAAAGAUGCCUUCUUUUGCCUUCUCAUCACUCCCCUCAGUCAACCCAUCUUUGGAUUUGAAUGGGAAGACCCUAGUGAUAGGAAAAAUACUCAAUUUACUUGGACUAGAUUGCCACAGGGAUUUAAAACUCACCCACGCUUUCUGGGGAAGCCCUAGCCAAGGACUUGCUUGCCUUCCCCGUGGAACAAUAUAGCUGUGUCCUACUGCAGUAUGUGGCUGACUUACUGUUAUGCAGCUCAACCCAAGAAUGGUGCUGGGAAGGCACCAAAAGUUGUUGCUGCACUUACAGGAAAACUGGAUAUAAGGUAUCAUGGGGAAAAGCCCAGAUUUGUGUACAGCAUGUUAAACAUUUAGGAUUUCAAAUAACACAGGGUAUGCGUUGCCUAGGAAAUAAAAAACAGGUUAUUAGUGCCAUCCCUAUACCCUAAACAAAGAAACAGCUGAGAAGGUUUCUUGGGGCAGCAGGCUUCUGUAAAAUUUGGAUUCCGGGUUUUACAGAAAUCUCUAAACUCCUUUAUGAAGCCCUAAAGGGACAAGAGGAAAAUCAUCUGCAUUGCACUGUAAAACAGGAGGAAGCUUUAAAAAAAAAAAAAAAAAUUUAAAAUUGACUUAGGCAGCCACCCCAGCCCUAUGCAUACCAGAUGUAAAGCAGCCUUUUACUCUGUAUGUUACUGAAAAAAACCUAGGUGGCCCUUGGAAUGCUGACCCAAGAAGUAGGCCCAUGGAAUCAACCGGUGGCAUAUUUGUCUAAGAAUUUAGAUUCAGUAUCAAAAGGACGGCCUCAUUGUUUUUAGGCCUUAGCAACUUCAGUUCUGUUGAUUCAAAAACCCAGACAAGCUGACUUUAGGUCAGGAACUGACUGUGCAGGUUCCACACCUGGUCCUAGAACUGCUAAACACAAGGGAGCAUCAUUGGCUCUCAAAUAAUUGGGUUACUCAGUAUCAAGCCCUUCUCUGUGAGAAUCCCCACUUGUGGUUUAUUUCUAUAAAACUUUAAAUCCUGCUACCUUCUUGCCCACGAAGACAGGCCCUCCCAAUCAUGACUGCUUGAGUGUCACUGAUGAGCUCUUUUCCAGCCGCCCUGACUUGCAGAUGACACCCUUGUCCAAUGCUGACCUUGUUCUGUUCACGGAUGGGAGCAGCUUCGUGGAAGAUGGGGUUUGUCAUGCUGGAUAUGCGGUAACCAUGAAGGAUGUGGUGGUCCUAGCCAGGGCUGUCGGUGGUCUGGGCACUCAUACGGCACUCCGAUGGGCAAAGGGUAAAAAAGGUGUGUGUGUGUGUGUGUGUGUGUGUGUGUGUGUGUGUAUAUAUGGACUUUUGCUAUGCAUUUGCUACAUUAUACAUUAUUGGCAUGAUUUACUGACACUGAGGUCUUCUCAUGGCAGAAGGGAAGCUAAUUAAAAAUAAACAGGAAAUUAUACAGUUGCUAGAGGCAGUGUGGAAACCUAGCAAAAUCACAGGAACAUAUUGUUCAGGACAUCAGAAAGGCAAAGACUUCGUUGCACAAGGUAACAACAAAGCUGAUGCUGAAAGCCAAGAAAGACAACGCACUCAAAGCCUUGCUCUCACCACUCUGGAGGCUGGUGAAUCAACACACAGCUGAAGAAUGGAAGCACCAACAAGGACAACGACAUGGAUUAUUGUGUUGUACCAGAUCACCACUGCCUUAAGUCUCUUUGUUUUUGAACUACGAGUGUUUAGGCCUAGUUAUGAAAAGUUUGAUGAACAAUAUGUGACUUUUAAAACGGUAAAAUGGGAACCAGAAGGCUAUCUGUUUACAAUAUUCUUUGAUAAAAACAUUAUGGGGGACCUGGGAUAACUUCUGACUGUUGGGGGCUAUUCUAAUGAAAAAUUAUAUUGCAAAGAGAAAACACAAGUUUGGUUCAAUGGCUCCCUUGUUGGAUGAGCCACUGGUAAUUGUAACAAUUGUAAACAAGGUCAGUGUAAUCCUGUAUCUAUGUAUAUGCCAAUCCCAUGGGAUCUUAUUUGGCUAAAAGGAGUAAUAUAUUUCAUUAGAACAAGAAGUUUAAAAAGAUCUUGAGGAAAUUUGAGAAACACUUCAGGCUUUAGAAACCCAACUAGAUUCACUGGCCAAUGUCAUUACAGAAAAGACGUGCUCUCGAUUUGCUCACAGCCCAGAAAGGAGGGACUUGCUUAUUUCUUGGUGAAGAGAGUUGUUAAUAUGCUAAUAAAUCUGGUGUAGUACAAGAAUCACUAGGCAAACUAAAAGAUCAGAUCAAGGCUCUUGAUGAGAAAUUUGGUAUAGGAGAGCUAUCCUAUGAGAUUAAUUUUACUUGGGCAGAAUGAAAAAAACUUGGAUAGGAACUCAGAAUUCUGAGUCCCCUUCUUGUUACAGUAUUAAUAUUAAUGUUUGGUCCUUGUGUCAUCCAAUGGAUUUCAAAAUUUAUAUGGUAGCGCAGUGGUGCAGCUCAAGACUACCAAAUGGUAGUGUUAAAAAAAUGUAGAUAAACUGGAUAGAACUUGUAAUGGAUAGAAGAAUUAUCCCGAAGUAAACAGAGGGAGGAAUGAUACGGAAAAGUUUUAGAUAACUUAAUAGAUUGAAUAUUAAGGUAGCUGUAGAAGCAAAAUAAGUAAUGUGUUCUUUUAAGAUUUGCUUUUCCAUGGGCCGGGGAUUUAGCUCAGUGGUUUCGCCAACUGGUGCACAAGUGCAAGGACCUGAGUUCGACCCCCGGUACCAAAAAAAAAAAAAAAAAAAAAAGAUUAGCUUUUCCUGUAACUCCUUAAGGUGAGGAUUGUCUGACUCUAACCAGUAACUUCAUUAACCUAACAAAGUUACCCUGCCAGGGUGAAUUUACAAUGUACAUGGCCUAUCUUGUGUCUGUGACUUGUAAAUAGGAACUGGAAUUGUAUUUACAUAUCAAAGACCACUAGGGAUAAGAUAAUGGCUAAAAAGGAUAUAAAAAGGGAAAUGCUGAACAAAGGGGGGUGGAUAUUGACCAGAUUGGUUUCUAGCAUUCCCGUCCACUUGUGAGAAGAAAUUUUAUUAUUUUAUCCGAAUUCUGUGUCUCUGUGUAUUUCUUUCCAAGAUUUCCGUAAUAAUCUAACAUUCAAUGUUCCAUGUAGCUAGGGGCUCUGAGUGGGAUAGCAGAUGGUCCACAAGAGCCUUGCUAUUCAGUAUGGCCCACAAAGUAUAAGCAUUAGACACAUGUUAGAAUCUUAAGCCCUCUCCAGACCUGCUGAAUCUGAAUCUGCAUUUCAAGAAGAGCCUUGGGCGAUCUGCAUGUACAAUAAAGCUGGAGAAACAGGGUCUCAAGCAAAAGCCAGCAAAGGAUGGCCCAUCAACUAACUCAUCAGCCACCUGUCUUUGUAAAUAAACUUGAAUUCAAAUAUAGCCCC
ensembl:lncRNA